rnacentral:rRNA from 1 species
ACGAACGCUGGCGGCGUGCUUAACCCAUGCAUGUCGAACGGAAAGGCCCUGCUUUUGUGGGGUGCUCGAGUGGCGAACGGGUGAGUAACACGUGAGUAACCUGCCCUUGACUUUGGGAUAACUUCAGGAAACUGGGGCUAAUACCGGUUAGGAGCUCCUGCUGCAUGGUGGGGGUUGGAAAGUUUCGGCGGUUGGGGAUGGACUCGCGGCUUAUCAGCUUGUUGGUGGGGUAGUGGCUUACCAAGGCUUUGACGGGUAGCCGGCCUGAGAGGGUGGCCGGCCACAUUGGGACUGAGAUACGGCCCAGACUCCUACGGGAGGCAGCAGUGGGGAAUAUUGCACAAUGGGCGGAAGCCUGAUGCAGCAACGCCGCGUGCGGGAUGACGGCCUUCGGGUUGUAAACCGCUUUCGCCUGUGACGAAGCGUGAGUGACGGUAAUGGGUAAAGAAGCACCGGCUAACUACGUG